GUGGGCUUAGUCAGGCAGCAGAUACUUGUUCCUACACUGCAGAACCUGGCAGUGGAUUGAUUCUGCCAGAAGGUAAAAAGAAUUCUAUAAUAUAUUGGAGGAGGGAGAAAUAUUGGGAGGGGGAGGAAAGGGAGAUGGGGAGAUGGGGAGGGAGACUGGGGAAAGGAGAAGGAGAGGAGGAAGGGGGAGAGGGCUUGGGGCUGAAGAAAAAACAUUUCUAAAAUAAUAUAAGCAGUGCUCUUUUUCUAAAAAAAAUAUUUAGGGGUUCUCUCUCAUUUUGACUCAAGAAAAGCACCAAUUUAUAGUUGAAAUCGGGGAAAAUAAAUACAGUAACAGGGCAGGACAGAGAAGGCUUAUUCCAAAAGGUGGCUUUUUGUUUUUAUUGUUUUAAGGAAACGCCAGAGGGAAAGCACAAAUCCUCAGACCAAAAUUUGUGGUUCUGCCAAAAUAGAAAAAAUCUACAAUGUAUAGAGGGGGAUAUUGGGGUGGGGCGGAAAGGGAGAGGGAGAUUGGGGAAAGGAGGAGGGGAGGAGGAAGAGUUGACGGCUGAAGAAAAAACAUUUCUACAAUAAUAUAAGGACGGCUUUGUUUGAUUGGGGAGACUCCUAGAAUCCCUCUGGGGGUCGUGAGGGAGGGGAGGGGGAGAAUGUUCCCUUGUGCUGACAGAAGGUUCUCUUGGCACUGCUAGGAAUACCACCCAAAGCUCUCACCCCCUCAUUCAAUAUAAUGGUGAACCUAAAAAAGGGUUCGGAGAAAAGUGGAAGAAAUUUGCAGAAAUAUAAGCCUCUCUGGAUUAAGCCUGCCAAAUUUUAGGCAGAUCCGUUCGGAGGUUUUUGUGCAGGACAACUAUAUUAAAUUGGGUCAGACCUCACUAUUAAGUUGUGGGUGGACAUAGCAGACGACAGAGAUUUCUCCAAGUGGUUCUUUAUAGUAAGCUGGAACUGAAUUGAACUCAAACAGCUCAGCCGUCCUGCUUUUAUAGGCAGCCGGCUGUCAACAUUGUAACAGCAACAGCCCAGGGUUUCCGGCCUAAACUAACUGACAUAGACCUGAGUGAAAACUAUAUACACAAUGCCCCCUGGUGGCCAGGGUGAGAACUUCAAUAUAUAACACUCACCUGGAGCACUGUGUCCAUUUCUGGGCACCACCAUUUAAGGAGGAUGUUGACAAGCUGGAACGUGUCCAGAGGAGAGCGACAUUUCUUUAUAAGGCUUGGGAAACAGGCUUUAUGAGGAGGAGGAGCUGGGCUAUGUCUAGCCUGGGAAAGAGGAGACUGAGGGGAGAUACGGUAGCCAUUUUCAAAUAUCUUACAGGGGCUGCUCUCUCUCACGUUUUCUCAAUGCCAGGCCAGUGGGUGGUCCUAUAUUUGCAUAGUAGCUUCCCAAUUAGAUAUUGUUGUAAGUUUAGCGGAGGAGAUGGGGUGGGGUGGCUAGGCUGCAUGCCUGAGACCCUUGCUAAUUCCUAGAUCCAGCAAGGGCUAAAAUCUUGGUAAUGGCCCCUUAGGUAUGGGGAGUCAAGCGAGGAAGGAGAUGGAAGAAAGACAGGCUCUGACUCUGAACCUGACAGGCUGCAGGAGGAAGCAGACCCAGCCCCUCCCCCUUUCCUACCAAUAUAUUGGUUUCCUGAGACAGUUUGAGCAAGUUUCAAAGAAGGGGGCAUAGAUGCUAGGCAACCAGAUAGGCAGAGGAUUGACAGCUCUUCUCUGGAAGGGAUAGAAUUUCCUGACCCUCAAUCCCGAAGAGCUGAAAUGGUGAGAUUGCAAAGGAAGUGGAAAACAGGUUUUCCUGUUGUGACUACAAUGAUGACCCCAAGGAACCAACUGUGUCCAUUUCUGGACACCGCAAUUUAAGGAGGAUGUUGACAAACUGGAACGUGUGCAGAGGAGAGCGACAUUUCCUCAUUAGGCUUGGAAAACAGGCUUCAUGAGGAGGAGGAGCUGGGUAGGAGGAGAUUGGGGAGAAAUAUAAUACAAUGGCUGCUCCCUUUCACUUUCACUUUCUAUGCUUUCAUUUCAUCAAGUAAAUGUAGAAAUAUUACUGUAAUCAUUUAGACUAAAAAGAAGCAAUAUUUCAUAUAUGAAUUUUCCAGCUCUGUAAAUUAAUAUAUGUAAGACCACAUUUAGGGCUGUUGUGUGGGGAGUAUACUAGUAUGGAAGCAAAACUGCACCUUUUAAAGACUUCAAGAAGAGAUGAUUUAUUUCUCCGCUCUGUAAUUUUGUCUCCACAGAGGAUUCUUGGGACGUUGAUGCUAUGGCAAAAACUGAUGUUGUGAUGAAUUUUUUUCUGGCAAAAGCACAGAAUUGAUGCUUCAGACUCUGAAGAGGCUUUCAUUUCAUUAGGAAUAAAAGGAGUCAGGAAGACAAAACAAAGAAGUGGAAAACAUACUAUAUCUCAAUAAAUUGCAAAACUCUGUGUAACUAGAACUGAGUAGCAUUUACUGUGAGAUCUGUGGAUCCUCCUGGGAGAAAGGAAAGAUGGGUUCCUCUGAAACGAAAAUGACAGAGCAAAGGCUCCCCAUGAAUCCAGCAGUAGCAGAGAAUGGGGAAUGUAGCGGAAUCAUAAUUAAUGGAAGCCCCAAACAAGCAAGAGAACUCUUCUCUCCAAAACAGGGCCUUUUUGGUAAGUGAGUUCUGAUGAGAAAGGCACGAGUUUGUCAGAAAAGUUAUGGAUUUGCUGGUGGGAUGAGAGCUGCAGAAUGCAGGCCAACUAAUCAAAUUCAUGGAGACGCUAAUUUAUUCAGGCAAUCAAAAGCCAUUGGAAAAGGAUAGGUACAUAGACACUUGUGUGAAAAUUGAGGAAGGCUUCUCAGACUCUUCUUAGUUCCUCUCUGAGAUGGAACUAUCCUUCCUCACGCAGGCAUGCAUAAGGAGAAGGGGGGUGAGGCUGCCCUUGAGGAGAGAGAUUCCUGGCUGUUCUUCCCCUUCCAUGUACACCAAGAAUGGAGAGCUUGUCUCUCGCCAGAUAUUUCUGGAUUCAACUCCCUCCCAUCAUUCCCUGCUAGCAUGGCCAAUGUAGACCAAAAACAUCUGGAAGAUCACAGUGUCCCCAUUCCUGCUGCACACAGACCUGGAGAGUCACUGAUAAGCAAAGAGACCAGGAAUCUGCAAAUGCAGGCACAUAGUCCACAGCAUUGACUAGCACAGCGGCACUUUAAUGCGUUGUUGUUGUUGUUAUAUGAUGCCCAUCUGAUUGGGUUGAAUGGUAUACAUUACAGGAGACCAUCCUGAAAUUUAUAUUUUAGUGGGUGAUUUAUAAUUUUUUUAAAAAUAAAUAAAUAAAACUCUCAGCGAAUUGAGAAGCAACCAAUACCAUGCAAAUCCCCUGGCAGAGAACCCCUGUAAGACUGGCUUCACAACUUUGCAUUGUGCAACACUAUUUCAGAACAUUGUUGAAAACAUAUUGGUUCCUCCUUCUUCCAGGAACCCAAUCUGACCAACCAAGUGUUGGCAUGGUUACAUGCUGGUGACAUGGCAUUAACUGAAAAAAUAU